rnacentral:rRNA from 1 species
AAACCUCCGAGCGAAGCUUUUCAGUAGUUUACUACAGAAAAUGACUGAGCGGCGAACGGGUGAGUAACGCGUGAGCAACCUACCUUAGUUACUGGGAUAGCCCGAGGAAACUCGGAUUAAUACCGGAUAUUCUUAUUUAAUCACAUGAUUUUUUAAGGAAAGGUCAGCCGAACUAAGAUGGGCUCGCGUUCUAUCAGCUAGUUGGUAGGGUAAUGGCCUACCAAGGCUACGACGGAUAGCUGGUCUGAGAGGACGAUCAGCCACACUGGGACUGAGACACGGCCCAGACUCCUACGGGAGGCUGCAGCAGGGAAUAUUGCGCAAUGAGCGAAAGCUUGACGCAGCGACACCGCGUGUGGGAUGACGGAUCUAGGUUUGUAAACCACUUUCAGGAGGGAAGAAAAUGACGGCACCUCCACAAGAAGCCCCGGCCAACUACGUGCCAGCAGCCGCGGUAAUACG